ensembl:lncRNA LINC01584 long intergenic non-protein coding RNA 1584
GUGUGAAGACCUGAGGUAUCAGGGGUAGGGGUUGCUCUGCUUGUGUAAGUCCCAUAGUGUGAAGGCCAGAGAACCAAGAGAUGGUCAAGAAGAGAGAGUAAGUGUCCAAUGUCCCAGCUCAAGAAGAGAGAUCCAUCCAUCAAAGGAGAGAAAUCAAAGGCCAAGAGGUAAAGAGAGAAGGUCAUGGAAUCCUCCCAAACUUACAGUCUGACUUCUAGGGACCUCAAAAACAGGAGACGCUCAGGACCAACCGGGGCAUUGGCCUGAGCCCAGCUGCCUCCAGGCAAUUCUCCUCCUGCCCUGAUGGCUUUCAAAAGAGAAAUGCCUGGCAAGACCAACCCCGCCUCUUCCUUCUCCUUCUCGACCUACUCAAAGUAAAGAUGAGGAUGAAGACCCUUAAGAUGAUCCACUCCCACUUAAUGAAUAAAACUUUUGUGGAUAGCUAAGUUACUGCUAGCCAUCUGAUUAUAGCAAUGGCUUCCAGGAGCAUCACGACCUGUGCAGACUCCCCAGCAUCAUAACAGGAAGGUCCCACGAUCACGAGCACAUUGCCUUCAGCAUCCAGCACUGAAUAUGGUGAAUUGCACUCUGAAGAGCUUCCUAAGCUUGUAAGAAAGUGAUUCUGAAAAGCUCAACAUUUUGGUAGAAUGGAGAGAUUUGACAUUGCUUCUGCUCCAAAAGCAAAAGACUUGGCCCAGAAGCUAAAAAUCACCUGCCAUCUUGGAAAUAAUCCCUGGAGGAUCAAGUCCAAGGGGGAGAAGUGGACUGGUCACCCCAGCCGAGGUUAUCUAAGUUCCAUGGCUUACUCCAGACAGGAAGCCCCACAUCCUGCAGCCUCAUUCAUAAUCCAUAAUAGAUGGUGUUCUUGGAUCCCAAGUUGAGAAAAGAAGUUAACUAUGCACAUUUUGGCAAAGAUGCAGACCAGGGUUUGAUCUAAGCAGCUAUCACAUAAAAUAAUAAAGUACAAAUGGAAAUGGCAAAAAUG